rnacentral:rRNA from 1 species
UACGAAGUUAGCCGGGGCUUCUUCUGUGGGUACCGUCAUUAUCUUCCCCACUGAAAGAGCUUUACAACCCUAAGGCCUUCAUCACUCACGCGGCAUGGCUGGAUCAGGCUUGCGCCCAUUGUCCAAUAUUCCCCACUGCUGCCUCCCGUAGGAGUCUGGGCCGUGUCUCAGUCCCAGUGUGGCUGAUCAUCCUCUCAGACCAGCUAAAGAUCGUCGCCUUGGUGAGCCAUUACCUCACCAACUAGCUAAUCUUACGCGGGCUCAUCCAAUUCCGAUAAAUCUUUCCCCCGUAGGGCGUAUACGGUAUUAGCAGUCGUUUCCAACUGUUGUUCCGUAGAACUGGGUAGAUUCCCACGCGUUACUCACCCGUCUGCCACUCCCCUUGCGGGGCGUUCGACUUGCAUGUGUUAAGCCUGCCGCCAGCGUUCGUUCUGAGCCAGGAUCAAACUCU